UAGGAUGAACGCUAGCUACAGGCUUAACACAUGCAAGUCGAGGGGCAGCAUCAUCAAAGCUUGCUUUGAUGGAUGGCGACCGGCGCACGGGUGAGUAACACGUAUCCAACCUGCCGACAACACUGGGAUAGCCUUUCGAAAGAAAGAUUAAUACCGGAUGGUAUAGUUUUCCCGCAUGGGGUGAUUAUUAAAGAAUUUCGGUUGUCGAUGGGGAUGCGUUCCAUUAGGCAGUUGGCGGGGUAACGGCCCACCAAACCUACGAUGGAUAGGGGUUCUGAGAGGAAGGUCCCCCACAUUGGAACUGAGACACGGUCCAAACUCCUACGGGAGGCAGCAGUGAGGAAUAUUGGUCAAUGGACGAGAGUCUGAACCAGCCAAGUAGCGUGAAGGAUGACUGCCCUAUGGGUUGUAAACUUCUUUUAUACGGGAAUAAAGUGAGCCACGUGUGGCUUUUUGUAUGUACCGUAUGAAUAAGGAUCGGCUAACUCCGUGCCAGCAGCCGCGGUAAUACGGAGGAUCCGAGCGUUAUCCGGAUUUAUUGGGUUUAAAGGGAGCGUAGGCGGGUUGUUAAGUCAGUUGUGAAAGUUUGCGGCUCAACCGUAAAAUUGCAGUUGAUACUGGCGACCUUGAGUGCAACAGAGGUAGGCGGAAUUCGUGGUGUAGCGGUGAAAUGCUUAGAUAUCACGAAGAACUCCGAUUGCGAAGGCAGCUUACUGGAUUGUAACUGACGCUGAUGCUCGAAAGUGUGGGUAUCAAACAGGAUUAGAUACCCUGGUAGUCCACACAGUAAACGAUGAAUACUCGCUGUUGGCGAUAUACAGUCAGCGGCCAAGCGAAAGCAUUAAGUAUUCCACCUGGGGAGUACGCCGGCAACGGUGAAACUCAAAGGAAUUGACGGGGGCCCGCACAAGCGGAGGAACAUGUGGUUUAAUUCGAUGAUACGCGAGGAACCUUACCCGGGCUUAAAUUGCAACUGACGGAACCGGAAACGGUUCUUUCUUCGGACAGUUGUGAAGGUGCUGCAUGGUUGUCGUCAGCUCGUGCCGUGAGGUGUCGGCUUAAGUGCCAUAACGAGCGCAACCCUUACGGGUAGUUACCAUCAGGUUAUGCUGGGGACUCUACCCGGACUGCCGUCGUAAGAUGUGAGGAAGGUGGGGAUGACGUCAAAUCAGCACGGCCCUUACGUCCGGGGCUACACACGUGUUACAAUGGGGGGUACAGAAGGCAGCUACACGGCGACGUGGUGCUAAUCCCAAAAGCCUCUCUCAGUUCGGAUUGGAGUCUGCAACCCGACUCCAUGAAGCUGGAUUCGCUAGUAAUCGCGCAUCAGCCACGGCGCGGUGAAUACGUUCCCGGGCCUUGUACACACCGCCCGUCAAGCCAUGAAAGCCGGGGGUACCUAAAGUACGUAACCGCGAGGAGCGUCCUAGGGUAAAA
rnacentral:rRNA from 1 species